rnacentral:snRNA from 1 species
UGGUGUAAGACACUGAUGACAGU